UUUGAUUUUGUGGUGUUGUGUGUGGUGUUUGAGGGGUGUUGGUGUGGUGGGUUUGUGUUUGAGAUGUGCGUGCGUGUUAGGGAGUGAUGAUUGUGAAUGCUCCCGCUUUUUGGUGUGUAUAUGUGUAUGUAUGUAUGUAUGUAUGAGAGAGAGAGAGAGAGAGAGAGAGAUGGCUGGCUGUGUUUCAUCCUGUGUGUAUGUGUGUGUGUGUGUGUGUGUUGCAUUUCAGUUCCUCUCAUUACUCCUUUCUCCAUCCUGAUUUUGAUUUAUAUCCGUUUUUAUAGCAAAUUUCCUGGUGAUUUCUUUUGAACUGUGAUUGACUCCUCCUAUUAAUUUUUUUCAUUCAUAAACGUUUUUGAUCCCGUCAUAAAGCAUUGGAGUUUGCUGGGUUUGGUUUAGGUUAGGUUAGGUUAGUGCAAUGACAGUGAUGCAGUGAAGGGUAUUGGGUUGUUUAUACAUUCAUUAGGUUGUUCAUUUACUUAGUUACAAAUCCAUCUUCUAUUGUCCAUUUCCCUUCAAUCAGUCACCAGGUUAGUUUUCCUUCAAUCGGUCACCAGGUUUAUCAGAUUGCCCUCAAUCAGUCACCAGGUUUGUCAUUGAAGUGACACAACAUUACCAAUUACAAAACCAGACCACAUACCACAUAGCAUUGAAGUAACAUAACAUUACCUAUUACAAAAACAACAAAAACAAACAAAAAAAGACCAACAUACCACACAAUUUGAAGUUACAUAACA